rnacentral:rRNA from 1 species
UGGAGGAAAGCAGGGGAUCGUAAGACCUUGCGCUUUUGGAGCGGCCGAUGUCUGAUUAGCUAGUUGGUGGGGUAAUGGCCUACCAAAGCUUCGAUCAGUAGCUGGUCUGAGAGGACGGCCAGCCACACUGGGACUGAGACACGGCCCAGACUCCUACGGGAGGCAGCAGUGGGGAAUUUUGGACAAUGGGCGCAAGCCUGAUCCAGCCAUGCCGCGUGAGUGAAGAAGGCCUUCGGGUUGUAAAGCUCUUUCAGCCGGGAAGAAAAGGCUGCGAUUAAUAAUCGCAGUUCAUGACGGUACCGGAAGAAGAAGCACCGGCUAACUACGUGCCAGCAGCCGCGGUAAUACGUAGGGUGCGAGCGUUAAUCGGAAUUACUGGGUGUAAAGGGUGCGCAGGCGGUUUCGUAAGUCAGAUGUGA